AUAUAGGCUUUUUUCAAAGCCCCAGAUGCUGGAAUUAAUGUGUUG
rfam:Taeniopygia guttata chromosome 3, whole genome shotgun sequence.